UACGAAGGGGGCAAGCGUUGUUCGGAAUGACUGGGCGUAAAGAGCUCGUAGGCGGUCUGUCGCGUCUGCUGUGAAAACUCAGGGCUUAACCCUGAGCUUGCAGUGGGUACGGGCAGACUAGAGUGCGGUAGGGGAGACUGGAAUUCCUGGUGUAGCGGUGAAAUGCGCAGAUAUCAGGAGGAACACCGGUGGCGAAGGCGGGUCUCUGGGCCGUAACUGACGCUGAGGAGCGAAAGCAUGGGGAGCGAACAGG
rnacentral:rRNA from 1 species